CCACGAUAAAAGAUAAAAAGAAAAAUCCAAAUUCCCACGUUCUGAAGACCUGAACUGAUUCGUUGCUAGAAUCUCUCCCUUCUUUCGUUUACCUCUCUCUCUGAUCUCUCUCGCUCUCCCCAAUUAUCAAAGGCCAAAAAUUUCUUAGAAGACUGAAAAUUCUGGUUACAAAAGAAUCCAACCCAAAUGCGAUGAAGCAACCGACUUCGUCCUCCUUGAUGAUGUACGCCUCUGGAUCUCUCGUAUUCAUUUAGAUUGGGAUAGCUGAUGCGAUUUUGAACCUUGUGAGUAGUGGGACGACACUGAAAGAAAACAACUUGACAGAGAUUGAGGGUGGAGUUGUGUUGCGCAGUCAGGCAGUUCUGGUUGCAAGCAAGAGAUCAUUGCUCCAAAAAAAUAAUGCACUUGACACGAACAUGAGAUUCUUGAAACAUUGGAGGCACAUCUAAGGGCAGAGGAUAAAAUCAUGGUGAGGAAUUCAUCUUUAAUCCAAAAAUCUAUAUACUAUUAUAUAUACCUUUUCUUUAUUGUCAAUUUCUUUAAUUCAUUUGCCAUUUACUAUCUUAGAAGCUAUUAUGGUUUUCUCAAAUCUGUCAUAUUUUUAUUGUGUUUUCUUUUAAUUCUGUAGUUAGGCUUUUUUCUUUAUAUUCAUUACCUCUAUUGGAAUAAUUAGGGUUUGAAUUUUCAUAGUUUCUGCAAGUUUGCUUUUAUUUUCCAGGGUCUCUCCAAGCCUAGCAUAUACAACAUAAGGUCAAGGCGUUUGGUGCGGUGUCAAAAGCUUUCUCUCGCAAUUUUGAUAUCCUAUUGGGUCAGAUUUUCUCUCUUCUUUGUAUGUGUACUCAAAAGAUUAUGUAUUUAAUUGAAUUUACCCCAUUCAUGAUAAAGAGCCACUCUCUUAUGGGUUUGAGUAAUUCCUUUGCUUUUAAACAGAUUUCACAGAUGACAAGUCAUUUGUAAAUGUGAACUGCCAUCAAUAUGACCCCUCUUAUGUGUUUGUAUUUCAUUCCUAUAUGUUGUGUUAAUGGGUUACACCACUAUUGUCUUAUUCGUCUGCUAGCAGCUAGCUAACUAAUAUAGAACAAAAGACUCUUCUUUUAAUUUUUUUUUUUUUUAUUCUCUUGCUGCCCAUUGAAAAGUUCACCAUACGGUUUGGCUUUAACUUUUCAGUUUUUUUUUUCUUUGAGUAUCUUUUAUAUGCAUGUCAAUGCAUUCAUUCUAUUUGUACUGGUGUUGCUUGUGUUUACCUCUUACAGAUAAGUUGUUUUUUGAAUUGCUAAGAAUGUCCAUGACAAACUAGCCUUGUUGGUACUUUUGAUCAUUAAAUAUUGGAUCUUUGUUAUUCAGCAUCUAUUCCUGAGCUUCUAUAUAUGUAUUUGCAUUAUUUUACUUAUUGCAUUGAUUUCACUGGAAUUUUUUUUUUUUAAUCAUGCAAGGAGGGGUUGCUUGCUCUGUUGGAUUUGCACAAAGAGGAUUUUUUGCUCUGUUUUGUGCAAGGAAGCUCUCUCAUUCCAAGGGUGUUUAUGUAUUCAUGUAACAUUUUAAUUAUAUUAAUUCUUAGGUAGCAAUUUGAUUUGGAUAGCCAAGAUAUAUAAUUUUGAUCAAUUGAAUUUUAGUGCUUUCCAUUAUGUGAGUUCUUUAUGUUUUUUGUACUAAGAGGUCAGGCAUCAUGUCCCCCUCUCUAUUGUAUUUGUUUUUUGUGCUAAUAAAGAAUAUUGAUCAUUA